ensembl:lncRNA
AUGUCUGAGAGUCUUUGGCCCCCCCCCCGCCCCCCUCCUGUGUCUCGUGCAGCUGUUGGUGGGAGUGAAGAUGUGGUGAAGAAGGAAGAAGCUCAGAAGGAUGAGAUCUCAUGGCCCUGGAACAAGAACAAGGAUAAGGAGGGCAGCAAGGGAAAGUCCGGCAAAGACGACAAAAAGCACGAGUCCGGCAAAUCCGACAAAAAGCACAAGUCAAAGGACGGGGAACACAAGAAGAAAAGGGACAAAGGUGAAGGAAACCAAUCUGGCUCUUCCUCAUCGUCGUCCUCCAGCAGUGACGAGGAGUGAUGCUUCCAGCGCCGAUGGUCUCUUCUAACCUCGUCUGUGAAGCAAAGUGACUGUGUGCAGUUGUACCGACGGUCCUUCCUCUUGUUGAUGUAUAAAUAAACCUGAUUGAACGCUGCUUCUCGCCAUAAACUUCCUGUGUUGCUUAAAGUGUGUUUAUUCCACCACAGCGGCGUGAAAAACCCUCACCAAGGUCGCUGUUUGUCGCUGCACGCGUUUAUAAUUGUCCGGAUCGUGUUGAGAUAACCCCCCAAAAAAAUGAGUAGUCUGUCUUUAGAAAAUGUACAUGAAUAAAUCAGUUAAAAAAAAUAAUUGGAAAGCUACAAAACUUCAGAACAGUCGUCAUGCUGCGGACGACGUUUCAUCUCCACCUGUAGGCGUGUGUUCUGAGAAACUCCUCAUCCUGCUCCACGAAACGUUUGUCUGUUAAAAGGAACAGGAUGCUGCUGUCAGGCCCGACGGCAUUUUGCCCUCAAGAGAAAAUAAUUAAAGUUGACAUGUUUUUGUUCCAAAGCAAACAUGUUGUAUAAUGUGAAUGUUCAGUCCCAGCCUUCUCCAGGGUGGAGUAGGAGUAGCAUUCUACCCCUCAUAACCGUAACACUACACUGGGUGAACGCUCAAGGGGAGCGGCGGUUUGGGGGGCGGGGUUAGGCUUGAAUCACAUGCUUGAGGUGUGGCUAAUCCAGGUACUUAAGUUUGAGUCCGUGUGGUCACUGUGGUUUGUGAACAGGAGACACGAUGGAUCGCGCAGGUAAGCUCAAUUUGACUGAACGUACUUAAGAUCAACACCUUGAAUAUGUGUCUCUGUUGACUAAAGUAACACGUUUUACGCCUGGUAAAUCGUCACAGGCCGCAGGCAUUUAAAAGCCGUUACUCCCAUUUCAUUACUCGCCAAAGGGGCUUUGGAAUAUAUUUUUAAAUGUAAAUUCAUGUGUCAGAAAGUUGUUUCUUAUUUGCAGCCGUUCUCUUUUAUUCUAACCCGGUUUCCCUUUUCAUUCUGACCCGAACAGGUAAAAAGGACAAGGUGAGAGAUUUGCAUGUUUGCUUCAUUAUCUGAGUGAUUAGUGAUUCUGUGACGUCACAAAGUUGCUUCUCUUUGAACGUCCUACCGCUGCAUUAUUACGACCAGUGCACUCGAUCCUCUAUCGCUGUGACAACGGCGACACGAUCAAUGAUCCGGUCCACUUUUGCACCCCCUUAGGGAGAGUCCAAGGGGAAGAAGGACGACAAAGCGUCCAAGGAGAAGGGCGGCAAAGACAAAAAGAAGGACGAGGAGAAGAAGAAGAAGAAGGCGAAGCCUGAAGGGAAAGGCUCCGGCUCCUCAUCUUCAGACUCUGACGAGGUAACACACCCCAACCCCCCCAAACCUGAUUUCAAAGGGUGGCAGUAAAGUGUGUCACAACA